GCUCAUUCCUGAACACAUACUAAACUAGAACGAUAGGGAGAAGAUUAGCAUUGCUCCUGUGCAAGGAAUACAUGCAAUUUGUCUCUUCAAAAACAGCUCCAAAAAUUUUU
rnacentral:snRNA from 1 species